CCAACACUGGGACUGAGAACUGCCCAGACUCCUACGGGAGGCUGCAGUCGAGAAUCAUUCGCAAUGGGCGAAAGCCUGACGAUGCGACGCCGCGUGAGCGAUGAAGGCCCUCGGGUUGUAAAGCUCUUUCGCCUGGGAACAAGAGAAAGUUACAAAUAGUAGCUUGAUUUGAGGGUACCAGGUAAAGA
rnacentral:rRNA from 1 species